GAUCUUAACAGCUGAAUACAGCAAAAAGAAAGUAAUAUUGUGCGUUUAUAAAGUAAAAGUGUGUUAAGUGCCAAUCUCAAUUGAUUGGCGGUUAGUACCGGCUUAAACUUCGGGCAAUCGUUUGGGUACCUGUCUGAACCCCAAUACGAAAGCUCGCAACAACAAUUUCCCCGAUAUUAGGGCCUCCGCCCGCGGCAAGGGACUUAUGCUCCUCGCCCAACUACAGCUCCGUACCAAAAAUUCCCAGCGCUAGGCCGAGCAGCACAAAGUGGGAGGCGUAAAAGAUUGGCUCAUCAGUCGCUUUGCGGGCGCGAGCCACUUAUGUGUCACGGACCCGCGAUAUAUUGGAGGCCGUCCAAUUCUGCGGAAAUUAUUAAAGCUAUGUAAACGGUCAGCCAAUUUCUACCCGAAAUAUAGAUCUGGGUCUCGACCUAUUUUCGUUUCCCCAUACGAAGUGCCGAGGAGUGCCCAGAUGUGAAGCCGGCGGCAACGACUGUCGUUUUUUUUUUAUAUCCAUCAAUGUAACCGCUGAUUCCUAUUUUUAUGCUAUAGUGUCAUUAGUGUAAUUAGCUUAGUAAAUUUCUUUUGGUUGUGUUUUUAAAUUCUGUUCGGAAGAAAUAGCAAGUGGAAUGUGUGACAGGGCGAAAGUGAACAACGGUUAAACGGCAGAGGAGAGCGUGAGUUUUUUUUUGUAAAAGUAUUUCUCCAGCUUUCGUUUUAGGAACGUUGCCGCAGUCCAUGGAAGCGCUUUCAUCGCUGUUUCAACGCAUUUAUUAAAACAAAUCAAAAACAAAUCCCAAAACAUAAAGAUAAAACAUUGGAGUUUGUUUGUUAUGAGCAACUAUUUAUUGCAUGACCAAAAAAAAAAAAACCUCACGUAGUCAGGGGCUUCGUCGCUUAAGAGAGGCUGUGCGCUCUCCCUUAUGCCCUGCUGGCAACCAUAAGCGCUUACGCCGCGCAUAAGAACCAGCCCUCUUAAGAACAAGGCACAAAAGGGAAGAUGCGAGGCUGGUCGCUCUGACGUUCUUUUAUGCUUUCUACUUGCGGUUGCUUUCGCUAAUGCACUUGAAUAACUGACCUGCCAUAACGAUCGCGGCGCACAGUUUUUACAUUCCCUUUUGCAUA